UGUCAGAUGAGAAAAAAGAAGAAACCCGCAUAAUGCUCUUGCUUGUAUCACUACUCUUUAAUAAGCUUGACAUAACGGCCUCGCCUCUAUUCGAAUAGAGGGUGUACAUAUAACAUAUUAAACACGUCUGUAACAUAUUGUCAGCGAAUGUGUUAAUUUAAACAAUCAUAAUAUGAAAACGUUUAAUGUAGAGGAAACAUUCAAACAAAGACACAUAGGCUUCUAUACUAGGAUUUGUGUUUUUGUUUUUUAUAUCAGAAAUAAAAAAGAACAUUUAUAGCUCAAUAAAUCAUGUUAAAGAUGAAUUAAAUAUAGAAUAGAAUUUUCAGUGCAAAAAUCUCCUGGUUAGCUGGGUACCAGGGUGAGGUGCACUGUAAUAAGGUUGGUUUAGUGAGCGCCUCAGUGCAGACUUUUGAGUGAGCAAAUACAGUAUGAGAAAACGGUGGGUCAACAGAGGAAAUUCUGUGGUGAUACAGUUUUGAAAUAAAGUACAAUAUGAAAACAGAACCGUUUUGAAUUCAUCCUUACAAUAUAUCACUUUUUUUUAUUGCAUCUCACAUUUGUUUAUUUAAUUCACUGACAUAUAUGCAUUCGUGCUCAAGCCUACUGUGCUGUAUGUUAAAUGUGUCUCUGUGAAAUCCUUGAACAGUAAUCAUUUAAAAAGCUGAGAAGAAUAUGAUUCAUGUCUUCCGAAGUCCUCAAGUCUGCUACCAUCCUUCUCUUCUGCGGCUGUCAGAGUAAAUCCAGAGCAAACUGCCCUUUCGUUUGAGUAAAUGCCCUUGCUGUUUGCACAGAAAGAGUCUACUACUGAUGUAUAUCUACAGCUACUGGAUAACAUGACUACACCAGAUAAAAGUAUAGUAGGACUCAGAUCAACACAAUCCAUCAGGUCGCAAAGGGUGCAGACAUUCACCCCCACACAACAACAACCAUCAGUUACACACACACACACACACACACACACAGACAGACAGACAGAGGGCGAGAGAGGGUGAGAGAGAGAGAGGGCGAGAGAGGGCGAGAGAGAGAGAGAGAGAGAGGGCGAGAAGAGAGAGGGCGAGAGAGGGCGAGAGAGGGCGAGAGAGGGCAAGAGAGAGAAAGAGAGAGAGAGAGAGAGAGAGGGCGAGAGAGAGAGAGGGCGAGAGAGAGAGAGGGCGAGAGAGAGAGGGCGAGAGAGAGAGAGGGCGAGAGAGAGGGCGAGAGAGAGAGAGAGGGCGAGAGAGGCGAGAGAGAGAGCGAGAGAGAAAGAGCGUCUAUCAAACCAAAAUUGUUUCUCUGAAAACUCCCAGAACAUUUGUUAGGUUGAGGCAAAUUUUAUCAUAACAGGGCGAGAGAGAGAGCGAGAGGGCAGAGAGAGAGAGGGCGAGAGAGAGAGAGGGCGAGAGAGAGAGCGAGAGAGAAGAGGGCGAGAGAGAAAGAGCGUCUAACAAACCAAAAUUGUUUCUCUGAAAACUCCCAGAACAUUUGUUAGGUUGCGGCAAAUGUUAUCAUAACAGGGCGAGAGAGAGGGCGAGAGAGAGAGAGAGAGGGCGAGAGAGGGCGAGAGAGAGAGCGAGAGAGCGAGAGGGAGAGGAGAGAGAGGGCGAGAGAGAGAGGGCGAGAGAGAGAGCGAGAGGGCGAGAGAGGGCGAGAGAGAGAGCGAGAGAGAGAGGGCGAGAGAGAAAGAGCGUCUAACAAACCAAAAUUGUUUCUCUGAAAACUCCCAGAACAUUUGUUAGGUUGCGGUAAAUGUUAUCAUAACACAAAAACUGUCCCGUCGUGCUGAUGAUUAUACAAUGUUUGUAUAAACAUUUGCCUGAUGUUGCAAGAACGUUCCCAGAACAUUGCGUAUACAUUUUGUUGCAACAGUAUGUUCAAAAAACAUUGCUGGUACAUUGUGUUAUUACAUUACCAGGAAACAUAACGAGAAUGUUGUUUGGGGAAUGGUGGUUGUUACAGAUGUUGUGCGUUUUUGUGAAUGUUAGGAGAACGUCCUAAUUUUGUAUAAAAACCCUUUCUUAUGUUCUGGGUAUGUUCCCGGUUUGCUGGGCAGUCUGUCCUGUCUCUUCACUGGGGUCAGCCAGUCAAGUCAGGUGAACCAUGAGAGUCCAUACAGCACAGUCCAUACAGCACAGUCCAUACAGCACAGUCCAUACACUACACACUGUAGCAAUAGAAUAGUGUUGACAUUCAAAAGAGUGUCACUGAUCCUUAUCAAAUCUUUCAGAUUUUGUAGAAUCUAAGAAGAAGCCUGCUCCCUCUUCUCUCCUCUGACUUUCAUUUCCCUCGGCUUUGACUGCGAUGGAAAUAUCCCUUGCUGCUGUGUCGGCUCCACGGACAGCAUAACUCACAAGAACUGCCAAAAUAAUGCCUAUAGGAAUUCCAGUACAUGCGCCAAGUGUUCCAUGUUCUGCACCUGCAACUGCUCCCAUGAGUGCCCCCACUACAGCAGUCAUAAUCACUAUUAGUGGUUUGACGUAGUGGCCCACCACAGACAAGGCCUCUUCCCUGUAUCCUUGCUUGACGGCCUGUAGGUCCACCUUCUGAUGGUCAGCCAUUACCGACCCGUCCUCUUCUCUGUGCUUACUUCAAAGAAUAAACACACACACAGAGACAGUUCAUGAAUCAGAUCACCGUUACAGAUGUAGGAUCUUAAAUUUGAGCCAGUUUGCUAAAGCAGGAAAAUAAACCUGCAGCAAUAGGGAAUGUGAAUUAUUACGUGGAUUAUUUUUUAAGGACAGUUCUGUAGUGGUUGAUACAUUUUUCCUUUGGGUAAAUCUAGUCUGAAAUGUCAAAGUGGAAAUUACUAACUUUAGAAGCAAUUUUAAAU
ensembl:lncRNA